ACAUGUUCAACUCCAGUAAACAGGUGAAGUAGUUUUACAAACCCAUUUCCCUAUGGGAAACAAAUUAACCAGCCAGAGUACAGCUUUUUGUUUGUUUCUUAACAGGUUUUGAACCCCUGAAUGGAAGCAUAAUCAAUGUGAAUAUUCUCUGCUCUUUCUAUGGACUUGGUUUGCUUUUCUGAUUUCUAUUCACUGAAGGUGAAAACUAAUGGUUACAGUGUUCUCUGAGAUAUAAUCCCUUUUGACACCACACAUUUCUAUACUUAAAACCAAGAAACACAUCUACUACAUAUUUUUAAAAUCCGAGUGAAAGUUUACAGAAUUUUUGAUAUUCUUUUGAACUUCAUACACUUAUAGGGAAGAAAAUUAUCUGCCUAAAGUAAGUUUCUAAAUUUUGCAGAUGUUUUGCUUAAAUUUCUUUUUGUAAUAAGGUGUUUUUAAGACCAGAAUUUGUUUCUGAAAUAAUUCACAAAAUUACCUCAUUUUAUUAAUUAUACCAUUGUUCCUCAGGGCUACUUUUAAUAACUAUCAGAAGAACCAGAUACAAGUCUUGGUUCUAGAAGAUUAAACUGGAUAAUAAAAUCAAGAUUAGAGACAGAAUGAGAAAGACCUGAGAAAACUUAAUGAGGUCAUGUUGUGGAUGGGACAAGGAUCUGAGUCUCCUGCCUUCCAGAUCUGUGUUUGCUCUGCGGUACUGCAUCUGGCCUCUGCUUGAGUCAAAGGAAAUUGUCUAAACCAUGCGACUCAUUGAGACUAGAGUCUCCCUGGAGCUAAGGGGACCCCUCUAUCUGGGUUCCAAGAUGGCCGAAAAGGAACAGCUCCAGUCUACAGCUCCCAGCAUGAGCG
rnacentral:lncRNA from 1 species